rnacentral:lncRNA from 1 species
GGAAGACAAUCCUGAGAAGUAGUUUUCCAAAGUGUGGUUUGGUGAGUUGUUUGUUUCUCUGGUACUAAUGGCUUUCCUCUUCCCCUCUGCCUACCGAAAUAAGAAACCUGCUCCUCCAAAGCCAGAGCCCAAGCCUAAAAAGGCCCCUGCAAAGGUAAGCCGGACUGAGACGCUGCUGCUAAUACUUGGUUGGGAGUUUCACAGAGAGCUGUCCUUCCCUGCCUUAACCUAAUUCAACAUAAUGAUGACUCUUCGGUGGAAGGCGGAGGUUAUUUUGAGAACCUUGUUUGUGAUAAUUUGUCAUGUUAGUGUCUUUGGCAAAAGUUAAAGAAAACUAGGGUUGACUUAACAGCAUUUUUAGCUGUUCUUUAAUUUGAAUGACUCUUUGGAGGACUACAAGUUGUAAUCUAGCUUAGUGGAGGGGGGCUGUAUCUUCAGUAGGCAAGCCUACUUUUAGCAGAACCUUGUAGGCCAUAUGACAGUAACACAGGCUGAGAGACUUGUGUCCCUCCUUCUUUGGCUUUAGAAGGGAGAGAAGGUACCCAAGGGGAAGAAGGGGAAAGCGGAUGCUGGUAAGGAUGCGAAUAAUCCUGCAGAAAACGGAGAUGCCAAAACAGACCAGGCACAGAAAGCGGACGGUGCUGGAGAUGCCAAGUGACGUGUGUGCGUUUUUGAUAACUGUGUACUUCUGGUGACUGUACAGUUUGAAAUACUAUUUUUUAUCAAGUUU